rnacentral:misc_RNA from 1 species
AAUUCUCAGACCCUUCCAGUAUUUUGUGUGCUGGUUGUGGCUUGGAUAUUGGGAGUUUCUGCAGGCCUUGUUAUAUAGAGGUCAGCUCUCCUGAAAUACAUUAGCAGAACUGUUUGCGGUCUGUUACUGAUGUGAUAAUUAUCUUGCAUCAAUGGCUGCUCUCUACUUUGUUCAGCUUCUAACUGUCUUUCUAAGACAACUCUUGAACUU